rnacentral:rRNA from 1 species
GACGAACGCUGGCGGCGUGCCUAAUACAUGCAAGUCGAACGCAGUGGGGACGGGUGAGUAACACGUGGGUAACCUCCCAUCAGAGGGGAUAACACUUGGAAACAGGUGCUAAACCGAUACUGAUGGAUGGACCCGCGGUGCAUUAGCUUGUUGGUGAGGUAACGGCUCACAAAGGCAACGAUGCAUAGCCGUCCUGAGAGCGCGAUCGGCCACACUAGGAGUAGGACACGGCCCCGACUCCUACGGGGGGCAUCAGUAGGUAAUCUUGUGCAAUGGACGAUGGGCUGGCCGAGCAACGCCGCGAGAGUGAAGAAGGUUUUCGGGUCGUAAAACUCUGUUGUUAGAGAAGCGGUAUCUAACCAGAAAGCCACGGCUAACUACGUGCCAGCAGCCGCGGUAAUAC